AAGUCGUAACAAGGUCUCCGUAGGUGAACCUGCGGAGGGAUCAUUAAAACGUAUCCACGUAUAAACCUUUGUGAAUCUGUUUUUCUAACCCGAAUCUCAGUGAUGGCGCGCCAGAUCGUAGAAGCAAUCAGGAGUAGCUUUUAUACGAUUAGCUAUCAUCUGUGGGUCUCCUAUUUUUUAUUUUUUAAACCUUAUGUAUCAUUUAUUGUACUAACGAGUUUAACGCUAACGCGUUCUACUUGAAAUUAAAAAAUUAACGCACAACUCUUAGCAACGGAUAUCUAGGCUCUC
rnacentral:misc_RNA from 1 species